GGGUUGUGAGGUUAAGCGACUAAGCGUACACGGUGGAUGCCCUGGCAGUCAGAGGCGAUGAAGGACGUGCUAAUCUGCGAUAAGCGUCGGUAAGGUGAUAUGAACCGUUAUAACCGGCGAUUUCCGAAUGGGGAAACCC
rnacentral:rRNA from 2 species